AAUAGAUACCCCGGUAGUCCACGCCGUAAACGAUGAGUGCUAAGUGUUAGAGGGUUUCCGCCCUUUAGUGCUGCAGCUAACGCAUUAAGCACUCCGCCUGGGGAGUACGGCCGCAAGGCUGAAACUCAAAGGAAUUGACGGGGGCCCGCACAAGCGGUGGAGCAUGUGGUUUAAUUCGAAGCAACGCGAAGAACCUUACCAGGUCUUGACAUCCUCUGACAACCCUAGAGAUAGGGCGUUCCCCUUCGGGGGACAGAGUGACAGGUGGUGCAUGGUUGUCGUCAGCUCGUGUCGUGAGAUGUUGGGUUAAGUCCCGCAACGAGCGCAACCCUUGACCCUAGUUGCCAGCAUUCAGUUGGGCACUCUAAGGUGACUGCCGGUGACAAACCGGAGGAAGGUGGGGAUGACGUCAAAUCAUCAUGCCCCUUAUGACCUGGGCUACACACGUGCUACAAUGGAUGGUACAAAGGGCUGCGAGACCGCGAGGUUAAGCCAAUCCCAUAAAACCAUUCUCAGUUCGGAUUGCAGG
rnacentral:rRNA from 1 species